rnacentral:rRNA from 1 species
CCUACGGGGGGCAGCAGUGAGGAAUAUUGGUCAAUGGGCUUACGCCUGAACCAGCCAAGUCGCGUGAGGGAAGACUGCCCUAUGGGUUGUAAACCUCUUUUGUCAGGGAGCAACGCCGGCUACGUGUAGCCGGACUGAGAGUACCUGAAGAAAAAGCAUCGGCUAACUCCGUGCCAGCAGCCGCGGUAAUACGGAGGAUGCGAGCGUUAUCCGGAUUUAUUGGGUUUAAAGGGUGCGUAGGCGGUAUGUAAAGUCAGCGGUAAAAUUGCGGGGCUCAACCUCGAAGAGCCGUUGAAACUGGCGUACUUGAGUGGGCGAGAAGUACGCGGAAUGCGUGGUGUAGCGGUGAAAUGCAUAGAUAUCACGAAGAACUCCGAUUGCGAAGGCAGCAUACCGGCGCCCAACUGACGCUGAGGCACGAAAGCGUGGGGAUCGAACAGGAUUAGAUACCCUAGUAGUC